rnacentral:rRNA from 1 species
GACGAACGCUGGCGGCGUGCUUAACACAUGCAAGUCGAACGAAGAGCGAUGGAAAGCUUGCUUCUAUCAAUCUUAGUGGCGAACGGGUGAGUAACGCGUAAUCAACCUGCCCUUCAGAGGGGGACAACAGUUGGAAACGACUGCUAAUACCGCAUACGAUCUAAUCUCGGCAUCGAGGAUAGAUGAAAGGUGGCCUCUACAUGUAAGCUAUCACUGAAGGAGGGGAUUGCGUCUGAUUAGCUAGUUGGAGGGGUAACGGCCCACCAAGGCGAUGAUCAGUAGCCGGUCUGAGAGGAUGAACGGCCACAUUGGGACUGAGACACGGCCCAGACUCCUACGGGAGGCAGCAGUGGGGAAUCUUCCGCAAUGGACGAAAGUCUGACGGAGCAACGCCGCGUGAGUGAUGACGGGCUUCGGGUUGUAAAGCUCUGUUAAUCGGGACGAAAGGCCUUUCUUGCGAA